AUCCUUUUUUGGUUCAUAAGCAUGAUGACUGGGUGUUCACGGUUGUGUGACAUGUGCCACUCUCAAACCUUGUUAAGCAUUGGUGCAUUACCCCUCUGACA